rnacentral:rRNA from 1 species
GACGAACGCUGGCGGCGUGCCUAAUACAUGCAAGUCGAGCGGACUGAUUAAGAGCUUGCUCUUAUGACGUUAGCGGCGGACGGGUGAGUAACACGUGGGCAACCUGCCCUGUAGAUCGGGAUAACACCGAGAAAUCGGUGCUAAUACCGGGUAAUAUCUGAGAUCACAUGAUCUUAGGUUAAAAGAUGGCUCCGGCUAUCACUACAGGAUGGGCCCGCGGCGCAUUAGCUGGUUGGUAAGGUAAUGGCUUACCAAGGCGACGAUGCGUAGCCGACCUGAGAGGGUGAUCGGCCACACUGGGACUGAGACACGGCCCAGACUCCUACGGGAGGCAGCAGUAGGGAAUCUUCCGCAAUGGACGAAAGUCUGACGGAGCAACGCCGCGUGAGUGAUGAAGGGUUUCGGCUCGUAAAGCUCUGUUGUUAGGGAAGAAACAGUACCGAACGAACUAGGUCGGUACCUUGACGGUACCUAACCAGAAAGCCACGGCUAACUACGUG